GCAGUAUACAAACAACAGAGAAAAAAAAAAGCGUAAAUGAAGAAGACGAAUUCUCCAAUCUUCUUCUGCAAUGAAAUCUAAAUAUCAUACAGACCCAUCAAUUGAUAGAUUGCAGCUCCGAUUUGUGUCGUUGUGAGCUUAAACGCCUGGAAUUUUAAUCGAAGAGCUUGGUUUGUAGUUUGUGAAGAUUUCGGUACAGAGAAAUAGUGACCUUUAAAAUGGAGAUAAGGUAAAUCGGAAAUCGUAUAUAAUUCAUAUAUCUAUCGAUUGAGUUUGUUUCAACAAAGUAAUCUUUUUUUUAAUGUCUUCUAUUGAUAAGAAAUGGAAAACUGUAAUUUAGUUAAACAUGUGAUGUAUUUGAAUAUAAGAUUUUAGACUUAUUGUAUGCAUUUUAUUUGAAUCUCUGUUUUCAAAUUAGUGUUAGCCAAUGUAGUUUAGUUAGGAUGUUUUUGUAAUCUGGAAAUGUAAAUACAUGUUUUUGAGAAAUUUAUUUGAUUAAAUAAAA